UUUCCCACUGAACGAACCAUCGAUGUCGACUAGGUUAUGGACACACGGAUGAGGCAGAUAAUCCAAGCAGCAACACUGAUUAGUGUGAUUCAGGCAUGGGUCAUGUUCAUGCACCAGAGAGCUGUUCGUCGUGCUAGGAGACCUUUAAUCUACUAUGGUCCAUUGUUUCCCCGGGAACAGGAGAGGAUCCAAAAUCUGAACUACAUCUACAACAGCAAUGACAUCGAGGCUGUGUGAAUGCUUAGAAUGAAAAGAGCACCAUUUGCCAGGCUUGUCGAGACCUUCAGGAGCAGGGGACUGUUACAAGAUAGCAUCAACACCAAUGUCGAACAGCAAGUGGCCAUGUUCCUCCAUGUUGUUGGCCAUAACCAGAGGUUCAGGGUCAUUCACAACACGUUCAGGAGAUCAAUGGAGACCAUCUCUAGGUACUUCAAGUAGGUGCUUUUUGCUGUUGGGGAGCUUAGAGGAGAGAUGAUCAGGAGACCAUCUGUCCAGACUCCACCCAAGAUUCGCGGAAACCCAAGAUGGUAUCCAUACUUCAAGGUGAGCAUUGACAAUAUACACGUUUUUUCAUGGCUUGAUAUGCUUGUAUUGUUCAAGUUCAGCACUAACACAGGCUAG
rnacentral:rRNA from 1 species